GAGCCCGCGGGAGCUGCUGCCGCUCCCUCAGUGCUGCGGGGACAGCGAACUGGGUCCUGCAGCGUCACACCAAGCUGCACCGCUGCCGCUGCCGAGCGCCUCUGUUCUCUACGUUCUUUCACUGUUGAUACUUCAGUAAAUGUCUGUUGUGACAUUGCAGUCCUGCCAGGCUUCUAGCAUAUAAGGAUACAUACAGUACAUCUGAGUUGAAGGCUGGAGGAGACCUUUGCCAUCAUCUGAUGUGAUGCCUUCAGGACACCAAGCCAAGGAGCUUUCCUGCCUGGAAACCAUCUGGCAGCCAUACAGGCCAGCUCUUGGACAGAGCAUGGCUUGAAGGCGACUAGCUUGGAAACUGGUGCUGGCAGAUGAGGUAGCAACAUCUGCAGGAGCUGCUUGUCCACAGGAGGCAGCUGCACCUCAGGAGUCUCUUGGGGCCAUGGGAGGGUGACCUCCCUGUGGGCAGGUGCUGCAGGCACCAGUGGUGGAGCCAUGAGAGAGCUCAGCAGCAGAACUGGGGCUGGCUCCACAAGCAAAGGUGUACAGGGCCCCUCUGACUGCACAGAACCUUGCCCUGUGCUUUUCCUGCUACAAAACCACAUCUGGAGGCAGGGUCUGGGCUGGACUCUACUCCCAGGACCUCCAUCUCAUGCCAGAAGUCCUAUCCUGCACCGAGGAGCAUCCUGGUUGGGAAUGCAACCAUAUGAGCAGGCAGGGCUGGAGAGGUGGGGUGCUGACAAAAAGGAGCAGUGAUUUCAAAAUACAAUUUUUAAAAAUUUUUGACAAAGCUCUGCAACACUGAGGAUUAAGCGCAGUUCAUAAACCAGUGAAUAAGCUUCCUACAGUAGCAGUGUGUUAGAUUGGGUGGAAAAGUCCAAUGGAAAAGUGUCCAGGAAACAUCUUUCAUGCCUGCACGUUAAAUUUAGUAUUCCAGCCCCGUCUUUUAGGACUUGGCAUUCAUCUACUAAAAAAAAUGUUGAUCUGAAAGAAAAAGAGAGGGAAAAAACCCCCAGUCUACUAUAACAGUUUGCUUGACAAAAUGGGGAGACUUGAGGAAUUAAUUGUGUGUGAGUUACAAAGAGCCAUCCUGCGCUGUAGACACUGGGCCUGUAUUUGUCACUCUCGCUCCCAGUCCAGCACUGUCCCAUUGGCCUCUUCAUUCAGCACAGCUAUCUGUCAUGAAGAAUUUAAGUUUCAUAUUUUCAUCUGUCAGUUGUGAAAAGGCCUGUCAGCUGAAGCUUACACUACCAUUUGCUAAAAGGCCUAUAGCCCAUGCUGACAAUACACUCUUAUAUUUGUGCUUCCAGGCUCCAGAUAAUCCCCUCACUUUCCUCCUCAGCAGUCCAGUUAUGAUGAGGCUUAAAUUGCAUAUUUUGGGGGGUUUUAAAUCCAGAUUUUGCUGAUAAAUGCUAUCAGCGGGAAUGAAAUGAAAUACAGCACGGUUUAGCUCUUAUUACCAGCAUUUUGUGAGACAGUAUUCAUAUUGAACAGGUUAAUAUCUAGAAUGUCUAUAGUCACAGGAAGUAAACGUAAGAAUGCUAAUAUCAGCUUUUAUCUGCUUUGUCUGUUAAAAAAAACCCCACCCAUCCUUCAAACAGAGCAUUUCCCAGAUUCUUUAAUUUGAUUUGCAAAGGGAAAUAAGAUAACCAGCUCAUUCCAAAUCCACAGCCAAUUGUUUUAUGCUCCAAGAUACCACCAAAUUACCCAUUAAAUGCCACAGAAGGUAGAAAGUGUCUAAAUCCCCAAAGCACACUUAAAACCCCAACAUUUUUCUUGUAAGACUGUUAAAAAAAUUACCAAAAUAAAAAGUUGGUCACCAACCCAUCUCAAUCUGAUGCAUGUUUAUGAGGGUAAAAGGAUACAAGGUGUGAUCUUCACACCUGUAACUUUAGGACUGCAUGACUUUAAUUAAAGAACAACACAGCAAAAAGUAAAAUUGCUUCAGAAACUCAGUCUCACUUGAGGAUUGUCAGGGAACACAACACAGUAACCGAGGUUAAGCACUUGAUAUCUUGUCUCUAAGAAAUUUAGUUUCCAACCAUUAUGCAACAACAAAGAAAUUAUAUCUUUAAUUCAUUACAAGAUUUUAAAUUGCCUAAUUGAUUAAGAGACAAUUACACUUUCUGAAACUAUAUGCGGUUAUGUCCCUGUGAAAUAACUUUAUGUUUUCCUUCUUAGAUGAAACAUCCUUUUUCCCUGUAGUUCUAAAAUAUUCUAAUAUAGUACAGUAGUGCCAGAGGGAUUUCUGUUUCAUUGCUUUAUGUUGUCAUUUGGAAACCAACUUCAGAGCAACAUUUUUCAACCCAUGGUCUGAGACAGUCUGGAAGGAGAAGACAGAGAGACUGCAAAAAAUCCUGUGUAAAGCAGUCUUACUGUUAACAGAUUUUAGCCUGAUCCCUUUUUCCCUGGAAAGGGUUUUCAGGUUUUC